GAUGAACGCUGGCGGCGUGCCUAAUACAUGCAAGUCGAGCGAACGGACGAGAAGCUUGCUUCUCUGAUGUUAGCGGCGGACGGGUGAGUAACACGUGGAUAACCUACCUAUAAGACUGGGAUAACUUCGGGAAACCGGAGCUAAUACCGGAUAAUAUUUUGAACCGCAUGGUUCAAAAGUGAAAGACGGUCUUGCUGUCACUUAUAGAUGGAUCCUCGCUGCAUUAGCUAGUUGUUAAGGUAACGGCUUACCAAGGCAACGAUGCAUAGCCGACCUGAGAGGGUGAUCGGCCACACUGGAACUGAGACACGGUCCAGACUCCUACGGGAGGCAGCAGUAGGGAAUCUUCCGCAAUGGGCGAAAGCCUGACGGAGCAACGCCGCGUGAGUGAUGAAGGUCUUCGGAUCGUAAAACUCUGUUAUUAGGGAAGAACAUAUGUGUAAGUAACUGUGCACAUCUUGACGGUACCUAAUCAGAAAGCCACGGCUAACUACGUG
rnacentral:rRNA from 1 species